GGUCCUAGAGUCCGUCGAGUUCCAAUGAUUUUUGCUCUGACCCCGCGGUCCGCUUUGGCCUCUCAGUCUUUGAGAUUGGAAGCUGCCCCCAGAGGUCUUGGGUGUGCAGUCUGCUUCACGGGAGCCCCCUGAGACUUUAGCCCGUGUAACCUAUAAGCCAAGGACGUCUUGGACAGUUUUAAUCAUCAAUAACAAAGUAUAUCAUUAAGUAACAGUGGAUUAUUUUGAAAGAGUUGGAAGACUUGUCAUGAGUUUAAACACUUCAAGCAAUACCCCUGGUGAUAUCCAAAGGUAAGCCUCUAGUCUCUUCCUCUAGUUAAGGAAUGCUUUUGGUUGCUGGGAGCCGGGGCUGCUUGUAAGAAUUCUCGUGGGAUGGUAAGGGAAGUAGAAAUUUCAUGGAACUGGAGGAGCAGGAAUGGUGCCUCAUAGGAACCAGAACUGGAUCUGGAGACUUUGUCUCUUUGUACUCUUUUGUUAACUCAGUGUACAGAAGUCAGUGUCUGUACUUUCUCUGGUCCCUAGAGACUUGCUUACUCUUUUCCACUUUUCUAAAUCCUUUCUUUUGCUUAUUCACAUUUCUGUGUGGUCAUUUCUUGGCUUGUCAUAACUCUGUGGCUGUUUCCUCUUAUUAUCCUCAUUGCCCCAACUCUGAUUCAUAACUGUUGGUUUUAGAUCUUAUUGCUAACUGCUUCUUUACUUGGAAUUUACCUUCCUUUUUUCUUUUUUUUUUUUUUAGGGCUGAACCCAAGACAUAUGGAAGUUUCCAGGCUAAGGGUUGAAUUGGAGCUACAGUAGCUGGCGUAAGCCACAGCUAUAGCAACACCAGAUCUGAGCCUUACCUGCAAUCUAUGCUGCAGCUUGCAGCAACCCCACUGAGUGAGGUCAGGGAUUGGACCUGCAUCCUCACGGAGACAAUGUUUGGUCCUUAACCAUUGAGCCACAACUGGAACUCCAGAUUUUAUAUUCUAAGUAUUGUUGUUGCUCAUCUUUUUUAUACCAUUCAUAUCUGCCUUUGGGUAAGGUGCCUGCCUGUGGUUUAUCCACAUCUGAUGUGACUAAUAAAAAACUUUGAGUCCAGGAAUUCCCAUCGUGGCUCAGUGGAAACCAAUCUAACUGGUAUCCAUGUGGAUGCAAGUUUGAUCCCUGGCCUUGUUCAAGUGGGUUAAGGAUCCUGCGUUGCUGUGAGCUGUGGUGUACGUCACAGAUGUGGCUUGGAUCUGGUGUUGCUGUGGCUGUGGCUGUGGCCAGUGGCUACAACUCUGAUUCGACCCCUAGCCUGGCUUCAUAUGCUGUGGGCGUGGCCCUAAAAAGAGAAAAGAUAAAAAAACAAAACAAUUAGGGUUGUUUUUUGUUUUUUUUGUUUUGUUUUGUUUUUUUUUUUUUUGGCCAUACACAUGGUGUGUGGCUGUUCCCAGGCCAGGGAUUGAACCCGAGCCACAGUAGCGACUCAGGCUGCUGCAGUGACAACACCAGAUCGGUAACAAGAGAACUUGUGCCAAAAGAGAACUCUGGGUUGUAUCUUAUUUGUUUUUAAGUUUUCUUUUUUUGGUAUCUCUUUUAAAUAUAUUGUACAGAAGCAAUGGGGGUAUGUGUAUGUGGAGAUAGUCCUUGCUCUCAUUUAGCUUGAGAAGAAUUGAUCUUGAGCACCUGUUCAGCAAGGACAUAUGAGUGGGACAAGCACCAUUACUAACAUGUACUUCACCUUGUAAAUAGGAUUUGCUGUAUAAACAUUUUCCACCUGUCUUUUGGAAUGACCUUAAAUCCUUUCUGGAGCAAGAUAGAGAAUAAAUUAAUAGAACAUAAACAUUUUCUUUGCUAACAUUUUUUUUCUGAAAAAAGGAUUUUUUCUUUUAUCAAAUGUUGCAAGGGUUAAGAGUGAGGUCUUAUCAGCUGGUUUCCCAUUACUAUGGUCAGAAGAUGGUUCAAAAACUGCUAAAUAGUAGUUCCCUUGUGGUGCAGCAGGUUGGGGAUCUGGCUUUGUUGCUGCUGUUGUUUGGCUUGCUGCUGUAGUGUGGGUUUGGUCCCUGGCCCAGGAACUUCAGCAUGCCAUGGGCACAGCCAAAAAACAAAAACAAAAACAAAAAAACAAAACUGCUAAGUAGAAUAUCUUCAAGCUUCCUUCUUGUUCUGAUAUCUUAUUUUAUACGUGUGUGUGUGUGUAUAUAUGCAUAGAUAUGUAUGCUUUAAUGCAGAUAAUGCAUGUGUUUUUAGAAAAAUUAAAAAAAAUACAUAUGAAUAAAACAAUGAAACUGCUUAUAAUCCUACCAUCUAAGAGUUAACUAUUGGGAGUUACCGUAUGGUGCAGUGGGUUAAAGAUCUGGCAUUGUUACUGCAGCAGCCUCGGUUGCUGCUAUGGCAUGGGUCAGAUCCCUGGCUCAAGAACUUCCAUAUGCCCUAGGUGUGGCCAAAGAAAGCAAACAAAAAAAAAAGUUAACUACCAACAGUAUUUUGAUACUUGCUUGCCCAGACCUUUUCUUUUGAACAUAUAAAUGUGUUGUAUAAAUGUAUAUUUAAUAAAUUGGAAUAAUAUUUCACAUUAUUUAGUAUCUUGCUUUUUCACUUUGGCCCAGAUGAUAUUCAUGUAAUUUAUUUGGCCACAGUGUGCAGCAGCUUGAUGUGAAGAUUUCAGUUCCCAGACCAGGGAUUGAACCCAGGCCACAGUGGUGGAAUUGCUGAAACCUAACCACUAGACCACUGGAGAACUCUUAACAUCUGUCAUAAUUUUUAAUGGCUAAAUUACUCUUCAGAAUUCUAGAAUCUGGAUAAAUGAAGUUACUUAAACUCUGCUCUUUACCACUAAUCUACUUUCUGUUUCUAUAACUUUGCCUUUCUUGAACAAUUCAUAUAAAUGGAGUCCUGUAACAUGUGGUCAUUUGUGUCUUACUUUUUUCACUAGGCAUGUUCUUCAGAUUUGUCCCAUUGUAGCAUGUGCUAAUACUUUUUUUUUUUUUUUUUUUUAUUUUGGCCAAGCUCACGGUAUGUGGAAAUUACUGGGCCAGGGAUAAAAGCACAAUCACAGCAGUAACCCAAGCUCCUGCAGUGGAAAUGCUGGGUCCCUAACCCACUGUACCACAACAGAUCUCCAGUACUUUGUUUCUUUUUAUUGCUGAAUAUCAUUCCAUUUUAUGGAUUUUACUACAUCUUGGUUAUCCAUUCUCCAGUUGAUGGAUAUUUGGGUUGUUUCCACAUUUUGGCUAUAAUGAAUAAUGCUGCUAUGAACAUUUGUGUACAAGUCUUUCUGUGGACAUACAAUUUCAUUUUUCUUGGGUAGAUUCUUAGGAGCGCCAUUACUUUAUCAAAGUAAAUAUAUGUUAAAAAUUUCAAGAAACCACCAGAUUAUAUUCUAAAGUGGCUCUACCAUUUUACAUUUCCACCAGCAAUGUAUAAAAGUUUUAAGUUUCUCCACAUACUCACCAACACUUGUUCUUUUCUAACUUUUUGACUAUAUCCAUUCUAGUGUGUGUAAAGUGGUUUGCCAUUGCGGUUUUUUUUUAAAGGGCUGCACCUGUGGCAUAUGGAGGUCCCAGGCUAGGGGUCAAAUUAGAGCUGUAACUGCCAGCCUAUGCCACAGCCACAGCAACGCCAGAUCUGAGACACGUCUGGGAUCUACAUCAUAGCUCAGGGCAACACUGGAUCCUUAACCGACUGAGUGAGGCCAGGGAUCAAAACCUACGUCCUUGUGGAUGCUAGUCAGAUUCAUUUCUGCUUCACCUGCCUGUGCUUUUUUGGACUUUUGUAUAUCUCCAUUGGUGAAAAGCCUAUUCAGAUCUUUUGCCCAGUUCUAAAUUAGAUUAUUUGUCAUUUUGUUAUUGACCUUUAAGAAUUUUUUAUGUAUUCUGGAUACAAGUCUUUCAUCAGAUAUAUAAUUUGCAAAUGUUUUCUCCCCUUUGUUGGCUUGACUUCAUUUUCUUAAUGUCUUUCGAAGUUCAAAAGUUAUUAAUUUUUAUGGAGUUCAAUUCUUUUUCUUUAUGAAUUGUGCUUUUGGUUUCAUAUCUAAGAAAUCUUUACUUCACUUAACAUCGUGAAGGUUUUUCUCCUCUUUUAUUUUAGAAAUUUUAUAAUUUUAGUUCUUACAUUUAGGUCUGUGCUCCAUAUUAAGUUAUUUCUUAAUGUCUGUUGUGAGGCAAGACUAUAAAUUUACCUUUUUGUCUGUGGAUAUCAGUUGUUUUAGUACCUUUUGUUGAUGAGAUUAUCUUUUCCCCAAUGAGUUGCCUUGACACUUUCAUUGAAAAUUAAUUGACUGCAUUGGAGUUCCCGUCGUGGCGCAGUGGUUAACGAAUCCGACUAGGAACCAUGAGGUUGUGGGUUUGAUCCCUGCCCUUGCUCAGUGGGUUAACGAUCCAGCGUUGCUGUGAGCUGUGGUGUAGGUUGCAGACGCGGCUCGGAUCCCGCGUUGCUGUGGCUCUGGCUAGGCCGGUGGCUACAGCUCCGAUUCGACCCCUAGCCUGGGAACCUCCAUAUGCCACGGGAGCGGCCCAAGAAAUAGCAACAAUAAUAACAACAACAACAAAAAAGACAAAAGACCANAAAAAAAAAAA
rnacentral:lncRNA from 1 species